rnacentral:tRNA from 2 species
GCCCCAGUAGCUCAGCGGAUAGAGCACGGCUCUCCUAAAGCCGGUGUCGGAGGUUCGAAUCCUCUCUGGGGCA